rnacentral:rRNA from 1 species
GACGAACGCUGGCGGCGUGCUUAACACAUGCAAGUCGAACGGAAAGGCCCUGCUUUUGUGGGGUGCUCGAGUGGCGAACGGGUGAGUAACACGUGAGUAACCUGCCCUUGACUUUGGGAUAACUUCAGGAAACUGGGGCUAAUACCGGAUAGGAGCUCCUGCUGCAUGGUGGGGGUUGGAAAGUUUCGGCGGUUGGGGAUGGACUCGCGGCUUAUCAGCUUGUUGGUGGGGUAGUGGCUUACCAAGGCUUUGACGGGUAGCCGGCCUGAGAGGGUGACCGGCCACAUUGGGACUGAGAGACGGCCCAGACUCCUACGGGAGGCAGCGGGGGGGAUUAUUGCACAAUGGGCGGAAGCCUGAUGCAGCACCGCCGCGUGCGGGAUGACGGCCUUCGGGUUGUAAACCGCUUUCGCCUGUGACGAAGCGUGAGUGACGGUAAUGGGUAAAGAAGCACCGGCUAACUACGUG